UGGUGGGUAGUUUGACUGGGGCGGUCUCCUCCCAAAGCGUAACGGAGGAGCACGAAGGUUAGCUAAUCCUGGUCGGACAUCAGGAGGUUAGUGCAAUGGCAUAAGCUAGCUUGACUGCGAGCGUGACGGCGCGAGCAGGUGCGAAAGCAGGUCAUAGUGAUCCGGUGGUUCUGAAUGGAAGGGCCAUCGCUCAACGGAUAAAAGGUACUCCGGGGAUAACAGGCUGAUACCGCCCAAGAGUUCAUAUCGACGGCGGUGUUUGGCACCUCGAUGUCGGCUCAUCACAUCCUGGGGCUGAAGUAGGUCCCAAGGGUAUGGCUGUUCGCCAUUUAAAGUGGUACGCGAGCUGGGUUUAGAACGUCGUGAGACAGUUCGGUCCCUAUCUGCCGUGGGCGCUGGAGAAUUGAGGGGGGCUGCUCCUAGUACGAGAGGACCGGAGUGGACGCAUCACUGGUGUUCGGGUUGUCAUGCCAAUGGCACUGCCCGGUAGCUAAAUGCGGAAGAGAUAAGUGCUGAAAGCAUCUAAGCACGAAACUUGCCCCGAG
rnacentral:rRNA from 1 species